rnacentral:sRNA from 1 species
AAGACCCGGACGGUUUCGACGAGAACCACCUGUGAGAUGUAGCCGGGCGCCUCGGGUGUGAAGCCGUCGAUGAUCUGUGAAGCCAACGGUGAUUGGGUGGUAUCGUCCU